rnacentral:rRNA from 1 species
AUACGGAGGGUGCAAGCGUUGUUCGGAAUCACUGGGCGUAAAGGGCGCGCAGGCGGUUUGGUAAGUCAGAUGUGAAAGCCCACGGCUCAACCGUGGAAGUGCAUUUGAAACUGCCAGACUUGAGUACCAGAGGGGAAAGUGGAAUUCCCGGUGUAGAGGUGAAAUUCGUAGAUAUCGGGAGGAAUACCGGUGGCGAAGGCGACUUUCUGGCUGGAUACUGACGCUGAGGCCCGAAAGCGUGGGGAGCAAACAGGAUUAGAUACCCUAGUAGUCC